rnacentral:rRNA from 1 species
AUUGAACGCUGGCGGCAGGCCUAACACAUGCAAGUCGAACGAGUGGCGGACGGGUGAGUAAUGUCUGGGAAACUGCCCGAUGGAGGGGGAUAACUACUGGAAACGGUAGCUAAUACCGCAUACCAUCGGAUGUGCCCAGAUGGGAUUAGCUAGUAGGUGGGGUAAGGGCUCACAGAGGCGACGAUCCCUAGCUGGUCUGAGCGGAUGACCAGCGACACUUGAACUGCGACAGGCUCCAGACGCCUACGGGAGGCCACAGUGGGGAAUAUCGCACAAUGGGCGCAAGCCUGAUGUAGCCAUGCCGCGUGUAUGAAGAAGGCCUUCGGGUUGUAAAGUACUUUCAGCGAGGAGGCGUUACUCGCAGAAGAAGCGCCGGCUAACUCCGUGCCAGCAGCCGCGGUAAUAC